rnacentral:rRNA from 1 species
AUUGAACGCUGGCGGCAUGCCUUACACAUGCAAGUCGAACGGUAACGGGCCUUCGGGUGCCGACGAGUGGCGCACGGGGGAGUAAUACAUCGGAACGUGCCCGAUCGUGGGGGAUAACGAGGCGAAAGCUUUGCUAAUACCGCAUACGAUCUACGGAUGAAAGAAGGGGACCGCAAGGCCUUGCGCGGACGGAGCGGCCGAUGGCAGAUUAGGUAGUUGGUGGGAUAAAAGCUUACCAAGCCGACGAUCUGUAGCUGGUCUGAGAGGAUGAUCAGCCACACUGGGACUGAGACACGGCCCAGACUCCUACGGGAGGCAGCAGUGGGGAAUUUUGGACAAUGGGCGCAAGCCUGAUCCAGCCAUGCCGCGUGCAGGAUGAAGGCCUUCGGGUUGUAAACUGCUUUUGUACGGAACGAAAAGCCUUCUUUUAAUACAGGAGGGUCAUGACGGUACCGUAAGAAUAAGCACCGGCUAACUACGUG